rnacentral:rRNA from 1 species
AGAGGGUGCGAGCGUUAAUCGGAAUUACUGGGCGUAAAGAGCACGUAGGUGGGUGCUUGAGUCGGAUGUGAAAGCCCUGGGCUUAACCCAGGAAUUGCAUUCGAUACUGGGCACCUAGAGUAUAGUAGAGGGAAGUGGAAUUUCCGGUGUAGCGGUGAAAUGCGUAGAUAUCGGAAGGAACAUCAGUGGCGAAGGCGACUUCCUGGACUAAUACUGACACUGAGGUGCGAAAGCGUGGGGGAGCAAACAGGAUUAGAGACCCUGGUAGUCCACGCCGUCAACGAUGAGAACUAGACGUUGGGAGGUUUACCUUUUAGUGUCGCAGCAAACGCGAUAAGUUCUCCGCCUGGGGAGUACGGCCGCAAGGCUA